rnacentral:rRNA from 1 species
CCCUUAGAUGUUCUGGGCUGCACGCGCGCUACACUGAUGCGCUCAACGAGUUUUAACCUUGCCUGGAAAGGUUGGGUAAUCUUUUUAAAACGCAUCGUGAUGGGGAUAGAUUAUUGCAAUUAUUAAUCUUCAACGAGGAAUUCCUAGUAAGCGCGAGUCAUCAGCUCGUGCUGAUUACGUCCCUGCCCUUUGUACACACCGCCCGUCACUCCUACCGAUUGAGUGAUCCGGUGAAUAAUUCGAACUGCGGCAUUGACCGGUUCCCGAUCGUUGCUGCGGAAAGUUUAGUGAACCUUAUCACUUAGAGGAAGGAGAAGUCGUAACA